rnacentral:rRNA from 1 species
AGUGAACGCUGGCGGUAGGCCUAACACAUGCAAGUCGAACGGCAGCACAGGAGAGCUUGCUCUCUGGGUGGCGAGUGGCGGACGGGUGAGGAAUACAUCGGAAUCUACUCUGUCGUGGGGGAUAACGUAGGGAAACUUACGCUAAUACCGCAAACGACCUACGGGUGAAAGCAGGGGAUCUUCGGACCUUGCGCGAGUGAAUGAGCCGAUGUCGGAUUAGCUAGUUGGCGGGGUAAAGGCCCACCAAGGCGACGAUCCGUAGCUGGUCUGAGAGGAUGAUCAGCCACACUGGAACUGAGACACGGUCCAGACUCCUACGGGAGGCAGCAGUGGGGAAUAUUGGACAAUGGGCGCAAGCCUGAUCCAGCCAUACCGCGUGGGUGAAGAAGGCCUUCGGGUUGUAAAGCCCUUUUGUUGGGAAAGAAAUCCAUCUGGUUAAUACCCGGGUGGGAUGACGGUACCCAAAGAAUAAGCACCGGCUAACUUCGUGCCAGCCGCCGCCGUAA